rnacentral:tRNA from 4 species
GGGCCUGUAGCGUAACGGCUAUCGCGCUUCCAUGGCAUGGAAGAGACUACGGGUUCGAAUCCCGUCAGGUCCACCC